GGGAAACGAGCCCUGUUAUUGGUUUGUAAUCUAUGCUGCAGAGUAAUACGGGCAGCCUUUCCCAACUGUCACCCUUCCCUGAAGAUUUCCGUCUCAUUUAGUCAGCUGUGGUGGAGUGUGGAUUCAGCCUCCCCUUUUUAUGGAGGAGGAGUGGGAACAGUGAUGCCUUCUUUAGACCAAAGAAAGCCUGUUUCUUGAUCUACAUUUAAGACAUCAUUUAAACUUAAGAGACUGAGAUAAUGUAGACAGAUUCAAUCUUAAUUUGCAGAACAUUAUAGGAACAUGGUAAUCCCAGAGCAUUUUUAAAGAAGUGAGAUUUUUAUGAAACUCUUUUACUGUCUUGCAUUGUGAGAUGAGAAGGAUGCCAACUUUUACGUCUCUGCAAUAGAAAUACAUGCUAAAUUUAAUUUCAUGACACUGUACAAAUAUAUGCGUGCUUUUCUUUAUAAGGUUAGGUGAGUCAGGCCAAGAGUAUUUAAACACUUAUUUCUAUUUAUUUAUUUUUUUUUUUGUGAAAAAAACAACCUGCUACUGUUGACCUAAUUUUGUCUUUUGGUAAGGGCAAUUCUGUUCAUAACUAUUGUUUUGUUUGCUUGAAUAUGCCUGUGCUCCUGAGCAAAUGUAAUAAAAGUACAGAAAGGCACAGCUGUCAGACUCUAGAUUGAAACAAUCCCCUGCUCACCCCUAAUGGUGGUGAAGGACUAAAAACUCCUGUGAUGCAGGGCAAGUAGUACUUGUCAAGCUUUUACAAUCAAAAGACAGAGAUAUAUUUCUUUGAAAAUACAAAAGGCUCAUUCCAAGAUGAUUAAAAAAAAAUAUUUUUUAAGUUCAGUUCAUCAAACACUGAUUGAAACAAACUGGAAUGUACAGCUCUGUUUUCUUAGAUGUCACUAAAUACUAAACACUGCACCUUUUAACCAUAUAGUUGAUCUCUUUUCAACACAGCUCUGACCAUUCUCAAAAUUAAAUGCAUUUUGCACCUGCAGACUCGAUAUGAAUACAAAUGAGAUUCAAUAAGAAGCAGGAAACCCGUGAUGUCGUCAGCGUCAGAGCAGACUGCUUGCUCUUGAGGCGGUGAUCACGUCACAGUGCCUGUCCUUCAGCGAGGAAGCAGACACUUACGUUUUUCACUCUGUGCACCUUGAGCAUUACUCACUGAAUGCUGUAAACAGCUUCAAUGUCUGUACUCCACUUCUAGUCUGCUUUUACUCUUUGACCCUUCUAUUCAGCGGAUGACGAAUGUCUCCACUGCAGUGAGUCACAGCUGUGUUGGUCAAGGGCAUCUUUUCAGAUCCAAUAAAAGGCAUAUAGGAGGGGAUUAGAAAUUGAAUUAAAUGUUUUUGUUUUUUUUAAAUCUAGUUUGCGCUUGCGUCUGUACACUGAGACAUUUCUUUCACAGGGAAACACCAACUGUGUGUGUGGAUGUGUGCUGUGCUGCUUGACUAACCAAAAAAAGGAGGAAGAGAGGGUGAGCGCAUUGUACUGUCAAUAUGCUUCUGUAUGAAAUGCUAAGGUGUGUUGGAUGACUCAUGCAAAGUAAAGCAGUUCACUUGGAUCCUCUUUUUCCUCUCCAUCUUUGCCUACACCCUAUGUAGCGACUGCUUUCCUUCGACAAAAAGGCAGCUGGGGUUUAGUUUCGCUUGCAUCUGUGACUCGUUCAAUCAUCAGUCCAGUUUGAGUGUUAAAAAGUGGUUUAUUGUUCCAAAAAAGAAAAGAAAAUACACUGAUCCAGGCCCAAAACUUUUGCCUUCGAAUGAAAAAGUGAUAAGAUGAGAUGAGGUUAAAACAGGAUGAGUGAAACGGUCAACAGAAAAUGAUCAGAGCUUACCACAACCAAUUGUUUGACUACACCAGUGAGAUUUAAAUAACCCACCAAACAUCCCAAAACCACAACCCU